GACUUAGUUAAUAGUUGUUGGAGGUGGCCAGGUACACGAUACACGUAAAUUAGAUUUUAAAAUGGAAUUAAUUUUAAAAGAGAUGGAAGCUUAACAGAUUUAAAUUGUUAUACGUCAAGGAAAUUUCGGGCUAUGUAAGGUCAAAGGAAGAAUUUGACCAAUUAGGUAACUUAUGUUUCUCUGGCAUCAAGAUCAAAUGGAUUUGCUUUUUCCACGAGAAGUACAGGUUCAUACCCUGAUCAAUUGACUCUAGGCCUAGUCAGAUUUCAAGUUUGCGUACCUCUAACCAACAUUCGCAAAAUGCAUUGGAGUGUGGUCACAGAUCUCUCUAUUUCGUAAUAAAUAAAUCCAGCGGUGAACAGAAGACUGAAGAAGGAACAUCACAGGGGCUGUUACUUAGACCUUUUUUACAGCAUUGAUGAAUAAUUGUCUUGGCAGCAACUAGAGUGACUACGUUACAAGUUAAAUCAUCUUUCUACUGCAAGGAUUCCAAUCAACAAAGAUUUUUAAUCGAUAACAUAUUGUAUU